AUUGAACGCUGGCGGCAGGCCUAACACAUGCAAGUCGAGCGAGCGGCGGACGGGUGAGUAAUGUCUGGGAAACUGCCUGAUGGAGGGGGAUAACUACUGGAAACGGUAGCUAAUACCGCAUACCAUCAGAUGUGCCCAGAUGGGAUUAGCUAGUAGGUGGGGUAAAGGCUCACCUAGGCGACGAUCCCUAGCUGGUCUGAGAGGAUGACCAGCCACACUGGAACGGAGACACGGUCCAGACUCCUACGGGAGGCAGCAGUGGGGAAUAGUGCACAAUGGGCGCAAGCCUGAUGCAGCCAUGCCGCGUGUGUGAAGAAGGCCUUCGGGUUGUAAAGCACUUUCAGCGGGGAGGCGUUACCCGCAGAAGAAGCACCGGCUAACUCCGUGCCAGCAGCCGCGGUAAUAC
rnacentral:rRNA from 1 species